GACGAACGCUGGCGGCGUGCUUAACACAUGCAAGUCGAACGGAAAGGCCCUUCGGGGUACUCGAGUGGCGAACGGGUGAGUAACACGUGGGUGAUCUGCCCUGCACUUUGGGAUAAGCCUGGGAAACUGGGUCUAAUACCGAAUAGGACCACGCGCUUCAUGGUGUGUGGUGGAAAGCUUUUGCGGUGUGGGAUGGGCCCGCGGCCUAUCAGCUUGUUGGUGGGGUAAUGGCCUACCAAGGCGACGACGGGUAGCCGGCCUGAGAGGGUGACCGGCCACACUGGGACUGAGAUACGGGCCAGACUCCUACGGGAGGCAGCAGUGGGGAAUAUUGCACAAUGGGCGCAAGCCUGAUGCAGCGACGCCGCGUGAGGGAUGACGGCCUUCGGGUUGUAAACCUCUUUCAAUAGGGACGAAGCGCAAGUGACGGUACCUAUAGAAGAAGCACCGGCCAACUACGUG
rnacentral:rRNA from 1 species